rnacentral:rRNA from 1 species
GAUCAUGGCUCAGGACGAACGCUGGCGGCGUGCUUAACACAUGCAAGUCGAACGAAGCAACAGAAUGUGCUUGCACAAUUUGUUGACUUAGUGGCGGACGGGUGAGUAACGCGUGAGCGACCUACCUUAAAGAGGGGGACAACAGUUGGAAACGACUGCUAAUACCGCAUAAGACCACACUGCUGCAUGGCAGAGGGGUCAAAGGAGCAAUCCGCUUUAAGAUGGGCUCGCGU